rnacentral:rRNA from 1 species
UAGCCGGGUGUGUAAGCGCAGCGAUGCGUUGAGCUAACCGGUACUAAUGAACCGUGAGGCUAACCUUAC